rnacentral:lncRNA from 1 species
AAAUGAUAAACAUUUAUUAGUGUAUGUUUUUACCCUACAUAAAAAAAACAAUUAUAUUUGACAACCGUUAUAUUGCCUAUCGCUAUGCCUCGCUUAAAUGAAUUUUACAUGCAGACCCGGCUCUCAGUAUGUGCGGACGGCGCAAAUGCACAGGAUCCUAAAAUUUUACUUGAUUUUCCUUACAAGAAAAGGACCCAAAAUUUAGAAAAAAUCUUGUUUUCUGAAGAAAAUAUAAACGGCGGUGAAAAGCAAUCUGAAAACUAGGUUUCAUCUUUCUGAUGAAGAAGAAUACGUGAUGUUUUAAAAGGUCACAUGAGAU